rnacentral:rRNA from 1 species
GACGAACGCUGGCGGCGUGCUUAACACAUGCAAGUCGAGCGGAGCGGCGAACGGGUGAGUAACGCGUGAGUAACUGCCCCCCUCUCUGGGAUAACAGUUGGAAACGGCUGCUAAUACCGGAUAGUGGGGGAUGACUCGGGACCUAUCAGCUUGUUGGUGGAGUAGUGGCCUACCAAGGCGACGACGGGUAGCCGGCAUGAGCAGGCGACCGGCCACAUUGGGCUGAGGUACGGCCCAGACUCGUACGGGAGACAGCAGUCGGGAAUAUUGCACAAUGGUGGAAACGCUGGUGCAACAACGCCGCGUGCGGGAAGACGGCCUUCGGGUUGUAAACCGCUUUCAGCCAAGACGCGGUAGUGGCAGAAGAAGCACCGGCUAACUACGUGCCAGCAGCCGCGGUAAUAC